rnacentral:sRNA from 1 species
UUAUAUUCUCCGUUGGGGGGGAUGAGAACCCCCGACCGGGGUUCGACAACUGGCGCAGCCAGUUGGACAGACCGCCACGCAGUAAGCGGGCUGCCCCGCAGGGGCGAGCGAAGCGAGUCAAUCCCCCCCUCACCGCCA